UGGGGAAUAUUGGACAAUGGGCGCAAGCCUGAUCCAGCCAUGCCGCGUGGGUGAAGAAGGCCCUAGGGUUGUAAACCCCUUUCAGCGGGGAAGAUAAUGACGGUACCCGCAGAAGAAGCCCCGGCUAACUCCGUGCCAGCAGCCGCGGUAAUACGGAGGGGGCUAGCGUUGUUCGGAAUCACUGGGCGUAAAGGGCGCGUAGGCGGCUGUUUAAGUCGAGGGUGAAAGCCCGGGGCUCAACCCCGGAACGGCCUUCGAGACUGGGCAGCUCGAGACCGGAAGAGGAGGGUGGAAUACCCAGUGUAGAGGUGAAAUUCGUAGAUAUUGGGUGGAACACCAGUGGCGAAAGCGGCUCUCUGGUCCGGAUCUGACGCUGAGGCGCGAAAGCGUGGGGAGCAAACAGGAUUAGAUACCCCCGUAGUCC
rnacentral:rRNA from 1 species